UACGUAGGCAGCGAGCGUUGUUCGGAAUUACUGGGCGUAAAGAGUGUGUAGGCGGUGCUCUAAGUUCGGUGUGAAAUCUCCUGGCUCAACUGGGAGGGUGCGCCGGAAACUGGAGUGCUUGAGCGUGGGGAGAGGAAAGCGGAAUUCCUGGUGUAGCGGUGAAAUGCGUAGAUAUCAGGAGGAACACCUGUGGUGUAGACGCUUUCUGGACCAUAGCUGACGCUGAGACACGAAAGCGUGGGUAGCAAACAGG
rnacentral:rRNA from 1 species